UGGGGAAUAUUGGACAAUGGGGGGAACCCUGAUCCAGCUAUGCCGCGUGAAUGAAGAAGGCCUUAGGGUUGUAAAGUUCUUUUAUAAGGGAAGAUGAUGACGGUACCUUAUGAAUAAGCACCGGCAAACUUCGUGCCAGCAGCCGCGGUAAUACGAAGGGUGCUAGCGUUGUUCGGAUUUACUGGGCGUAAAGCGCACGUAGGCGGUUAUAUAAGUCAGCGGUGAAAUCCCAGGGCUCAACCUUGGAACUGCCAUUGAUACUGUAUAACUUGAGUGUAUGAGAGGAUAAUGGAAUAUCCAGUGUAGAGGUGAAAUUCGUAGAUAUUGGAUAGAACACCAGUGGCGAAGGCGAUUAUCUGGCGUACAACUGACGCUAAUGUGCGAAAGCGUGGGUAGCAAA
rnacentral:rRNA from 1 species